ensembl:rRNA 5S_rRNA 5S ribosomal RNA
GUCUACGGCCAUGCCACCCUGAACAAGCCCAAUCCCGUCUGAUCUCGGAAGCUAAGCAGGGUCGAGCCUGGUUAGUACCUGGAUGGGAGACCACCCAGGAAGGCGUAAAAAAUAAGAGAUUGUAAGCU